UACGUAGGGUGCAAGCGUUGUCCGGAAUUAUUGGGCGUAAAGAGCUCGUAGGCGGUCUGUCGCGUCGGAUGUGAAAACUCGGGGCUCAACCCCGAGCCUGCAUUCGAUACGGGCAGACUAGAGUUCGGUAGGGGAGACUGGAAUUCCUGGUGUAGCGGUGAAAUGCGUAGAUAUCAGGAGGAAUACCGGUGGCGAAAGCGACUCUCUGGACGGCAACUGACGCUGAGGCACGAAAGCGUGGGGAGCAAACAGG
rnacentral:rRNA from 1 species